ACGCUUUUAUUUUAAAGGUUAAAAUAUAAAUCUCCAAAAUUUUAAGAUGAAGGUUCAAAUCCUUCAAAGCGUG
rnacentral:tRNA from 1 species